UACGAAGGGGGCUAGCGUUGCUCGGAAUUACUGGGCGUAAAGCGUGCGCAGGCGGUUAUGUAAGACAGAUGUGAAAUCCCCGGGCUCAACCUGGGACCUGCAUUUGUGACUGCAUAGCUAGAGUACGGUAGAGGGGGAUGGAAUUCCGCGUGUAGCAGUGAAAUGCGUAGAUAUGCGGAGGAACACCGAUGGCGAAGGCAAUCCCCUGGACCUGUACUGACGCUCAUGCACGAAAGCGUGGGGAGCAAACAGG
rnacentral:rRNA from 1 species